UCUUCUUCGAGCAGCCAGGAAGUACCGCAGUUCCGUCAGCUUAAAAGAGUUAUUGUGCAUUAGAGCGUUGCAUAGACUGUAAAGAUGCCAACUCAGCAUAGCGUUGCAUUAAAGUUUCGUCCAUUAAACUGUGCUUUACUAUGGCGAAUAUUUACCAAUUAUGUCUGUUCACUCCAAGUCUUCUUUUGUCUUUCGAUUGCCCAAUCGUAGGAUCUAUGGCAUACUUGAGCGUCCCGUCACCCAGGUUGAAACAAAGAAGUCAAUGAUCCAAAUGUUAGAAACCACCCAGAACUUCCCUCGUCAUUAACAGUACAAGAAAUGAGCCAUUGUUUGGCCUGCAUGCUGAAAACCUACAGUCCACUGUCGAAGUUAUCUCUGCUUAUGAAGAUAUUUGCCACAAUGAAGAAAAAGUACCUGUACCUGAUGAAGCAAACAGAGUGCCAGCCACAUCUACCUUAGUAAAUGGCCAGACAAAUGUUUCGACUGAAAAGGCAAGAAUUCCAAUGUGGAUCGCAAUUACCUUUAAAAGAAAGUACAAGCUGUAAACAAACUAAUGCUUUGGAGGAUGUAGCUGCUUGUAGGUUUGGCUUGAUGGAGCAUGAAAAGGCUUUAUCAAGAGAGCUAUAUCCAAUCUGAAGUAGAAGGUUCCCAUGAACAGUUAACAAAUGAUCAUUAAGCAACGACGAUGUCUGGAACUUGACGAAGAAAUCGGUCGUCAUUCGUCAAAGUUAAGAAAGGAGACCAGUGCCUGAUGAGAACUUGUCUGAAUAGGAUUAAAAGCUUCUUAAAAGGUCUGAGCCUCUUUGUUGCAGUCCGAUGUGUACAUGAAUUCUGUGCAACCAGCUAGUGAACGAUGCGGUGAGCUGUUGCAUGCAGACUGCAGUGUUCUGGUGUCGUUCGUUCAUUGAACUAUAGACCGUUCAGUCGUUCCUUUAUCGUAAGAAAUCUGACACGGUGUGUAAAAUUGUUUCCACUAGGUGGCAAAGAAGGUCAGCAUUUCGUUCUUGAUGUCGAAGACUAGUGACAUCUUAUUUUGUGCUUCUAAAUAAGUGCUUAAAAAUUGUGUAAGAUUUCCAUGGCCAGUUUGUUGUUUGAGCUGUUUAUGGUGUUGCUGUUUGGGGUGCAGUGGUUUUGCUGUCAUUUUCCAGUUGAAAAAUGCACUGAAAUGAAGCUUGUGCAGACUUGCAGUUCAACAUCACACUUAAAUGUGUCAUUUUUCUAUGUUGGUGUCCGUGCAGUGUUGAUUAGUUGGGUAAAAUAGUCAAAUGUUGCCUGAUGGCUGUCGGGCUUAUUUUGUCGAUAUGUCGUCUCUUGCUACCUGUACCGCGGCGUUGAGUUUAAUCGUUUGUCUGCCGUUCCAUAGACUUGACCCAUUGGUAAAACUGAGGAACCGAGGUUGCUGAAAUUCAAGACUCGUCAAUAAAUUAUGUAGAUGUAGACAAAUUACAAGUGCAUAAUCUGGGCUCCCUUCUUUUCUGUGGCCCCGUUUCCCUAACUAACCACUAACCAACGCCCGCC